GGCCUCAGGCUCUUCGAUGAUGACUGCUGGUGCGCGUUUGGAGGACCUCAUGAGGAUGGCUGACUGGUCAAGGGAAUCUACUUUCCUUGAAUUUUACUUUCGAACAGCCCCUCAUAUGUUUGCUGUAGUAGUGGAUCAGCUUUAAACUUGCAAUAUGAGCCUUCGUGUCUUGUUAUAAAAUUGCAUGAUUUUGCUAUUACAUG